UAGAUGAGCCUAUAUUAGAUUAGCUAGUUGGUGGAGUAAUAGCCUACCAAGGCAAUGAUCUAUAGCUGAUCUGAGAGGAUGAUCAGCCACACUGGAACUGAGAUACGGUCCAGACUCCUACGGGAGGCAGCAGUGGGGAAUAUUGGACAAUGGGCGAAAGCCUGAUCCAGCUAUGCCGCAUGAGUGAAGAAGGCCUUUGGGUUGUAAAGCUCUUUUAGUGAGGAAGAUAAUGACGGUACUCACAGAAGAAGUCCUGGCUAACUCCGUGCCAGCAGCCGCGGUAAUACGGAGAGGGCUAGCGUUAUUCGGAAUUAUUGGGCGUAAAGGGCGCGUAGGCUGAUUAAUAAGUUAAAAGUGAAAUCCCGAGGCUUAACCUUGGAAUUGCUUUUAAAACUAUUAAUCUAGAGAUUGAAAGAGGAUAGAGGAAUUCCUGAUGUAGAGGUAAAAUUCGUAAAUAUUAGGAGGAACACCAGUGGCGAAGGCGUCUAUCUGGUUCAAAUCUGACGCUGAGGCGCGAAGGCGUGGGGAGCAAACAGGAUUAGAUACCCUGGUAGUCCACGCUAUAAACGAUGAAUGUUAAAUAUGGGAAGUUUA
rnacentral:rRNA from 1 species